UAUAAAUUUAAUAAAAAAUUCAGUUAACAUUGAAUCAAAUAGAAACAUUAUUUGUUCAAAUAAUAAAAAGUUUGAGAUAAUUUGUGGGGUGCCACAAAAAUUUAAAUGCUAAUUUUUGAGACAACAUUUUGAGAGUGAAUCAAAAGACUCACUAAUAAAUUAUUAUAACUUCAUACAGUACAGGAAUACACAUUUAAUUUUUUAAUUUCGGUGAUUUCAUCAGUUUCUCCAGGUCUUCGUCUGUAUAAAUACUUAUUACAGCUUCUUGAAGUAUUGAAGAACUCUGUAGUUCAACUGUAGUGAAGUGACAACUUUUCUUGUUCGCUCUUGAAGUGACAUCUGAUCCAAAUGUCAAUCAUCUCAGUAGUAGUCAGUCUCUGACCAGCAGUAUAAGGUCUCGUUUGACUGAUACCAUAAUUCAAGUCAAUUUAGGAUUUAAGAUAAAAGGACAAGAUAAACUUGUUAACACCAUAAAGAAAAUUAUACGAAAUUCCGGAAUCAUUGUAUUGAAUCGACAUUCACUGAAUUAUUGACAGCACUAUCUCAGUUCGACUUUAAUUUAGACGCACGAACAGCCAGCCUAAAUGCCAGCGAGAAAUAUAAUUGGUAACGAAAAUCGGAUUGUCGAGUAUGAGUUGGUGAGGGUAAAGAGAGAAUUGACGGUGGAGGAACGACUCGAACAGGAACGUCAGACACUUCGGGAAAUGAAUAGAGCUCGAAUAAACGAGGCAAGGUUGAAAGAGGAAGAGACCAAGCUCAGGUUAAAGGCAACUAAAAAUUUCCACAAACUAUUGUUUGAGGUGGCAAGAAGAAAAGUGGUGACAACAAGGUUGAGAAUGGAGGAGGCGAGGUUAAGUAUGAAGAUGGCGAGGGCAAGGAUGGAGGAGGCGAGGUUAAGGAUGGAGGAGUCGAGGUUAAGGAUGGAGCAGGCAGAACAAAAAUAGUGUAUUAAAUAAAUAAUAAAUAAAU